rnacentral:rRNA from 1 species
UACAGAGGUCUCAAGCGUUGUUCGGAUUCAUUGGGCGUAAAGGGUGCGUAGGCGGCGCGGUAAGUCGGGUGUGAAAUCUUGGAGCUUAACUCCGAAACUGCAUUCGAUAUUGCCGUGCUUGAGGACUGGAGAGGAGACUGGAAUUUACGGUGUAGCGGUGAAAUGCGUAGAUAUCGUAAGGAAGACCAGUGGCGAAGGCGGGUCUCUGGACAGUUCCUGACGCUGAGGCACGAAGGCCAGGGGAGCAAACGGG